rnacentral:rRNA from 1 species
GAUGAACGCUGGCGGCGUGCCUAAUACAUGCAAGUCGAGCGAACAGACGAGGAGCUUGCUCCUCUGACGUUAGCGGCGGACGGGUGAGUAACACGUGGAUAACCUACCUAUAAGACUGGGAUAACUUCGGGAAACCGGAGCUAAUACCGGAUAAUAUAUUGAACCGCAUGGUUCAAUAGUGAAAGACGGUUUUGCUGUCACUUAUAGAUGGAUCCGCGCCGCAUUAGCUAGUUGGUAAGGUAACGGCUUACCAAGGCGACGAUGCGUAGCCGACCUGAGAGGGUGAUCGGCCACACUGGAACUGAGACACGGUACAGACUCCUACGGGAGGCAGCAGUAGGGAAUAUUCAGCAAUGGGCGAAAGCCUGACGGAGCAACGCCGCGUGAGUGAUGAAGGUCUUCGGAUCGUAAAACUCUGUUAUUAGGGAAGAACAAAUGUGUAAGUAAAUAUGCACGUCUUGACGGUACCUAAUCAGAAAGCCACGGCUAACUACGUG